GGGAGGUGACACGGAAGAGCGCAGGAGGGCGGUGAGGGGAGACGGGGGUUGGCAGAAAGACAAGUGUGCAGCUUGGAGUCAGGACGAGGUGGGUCCCAGGUCAGGACUCGGAAGCGGGAUGUGCGGAGCCGGAGCCAGGAGCCGGAUGACAGGGCAGCCGAGGCUUGCAGGAUGGCAGCAGGGGCACGAGGAGAGCAGAAGAGGGAGGAGGCUCCGCAAGGUGCAAAGGGCCCAGCCAGAGAAUUCGGGGAGCCCUCGGGGCUCCUUACCUGCUCCGUGUCCCUCUCGUUCAGCGUGGGUAGGGGGGUCCGAGCGCUGGACAUGGCGCCGGUAUCUCGGGGGAGGGAACCGAGAAGCUUGGAGGAAGGGAGGGAAGGGAAGGCGCGGAGCCCGGCCGGGCGGGGCUUCUCACAGCAGGAGCACCCGCCGCAUGGGCCCC
rnacentral:lncRNA from 1 species